GACGUAGGGCGCGAGCGUUGUCCGGAUUUAUUGGGCGUAAAGAGCUCGUAGGCGGCUUGUUGCGUCGACCGUGAAAACCCGGGGCUCAACUUCGGGCUUGCGGUCGAUACGGGCGGGCUAGAGUUCGGUAGGGGAGACUGGAAUUCCUGGUGUAGCGGUGAAAUGCGCAGAUAUCAGGAGGAACACCGGUGGCGAAGGCGGGUCUCUGGGCCGAUAUUGACGCUGAGGAGCGAAAGCGUGGGGAGCGAACAGG
rnacentral:rRNA from 1 species